ACCUAUUGCCAUGCCACCCUGAACAUGCCCAAUCUCGUCUGAUCCCAGAAGCUAAGCAGGGUCGGGUCUGGUUAGUACCGGCAUGGGAGAAAGAGAAAAGGAGUACAAAUUCAUUAGCAU
ensembl:rRNA 5S_rRNA 5S ribosomal RNA